rnacentral:lncRNA from 1 species
UCAUAGACUUGACGCCCCCAUGCAAAGCUGGGUUAUCUAAUGCUUCUGGGUUAUCUAAUGCUCGUAACUUCUCCUUCUCAUGUAGGUGGUGUCCCACCAUCUACCAAGUAAAAGAACAUGGUAUAAUUCGAUAAACCUCUGGGGGAAGUCCCUUACUUCCCCCUGAACUUUUCAAAAAAAAAAAAUCCCCGAAGAUGGCAC